CCAGCUCACUGAAGUCCGUCUGGGGGCAGGGCAGCGGCAGAGGAGCGGUGAGGCUGGUGCCUCCUGAGAACGCUGGUCCAGCAGCCGUCUGCCCCUCACAGCCCUGCCCCUGUCCCCCCUCUCCCGUGCCCCUCCCGGCGUCCUUCCCUUGCUUCAGCACCUCUGGCCGUUGCCCACCAAAAGGAAACCCAGCUAUUCGUACUGGGCACGACAUCUGCCUGUCUGGCUUAUCAGGUGCAGAAGUGUUGACUGAAUAUCCUGGACAAAUGCUGUAAAGGAAAAGCCACCUCUUCCCCAGGUCUGCCGGCACAGUUACCGUCUUCAAAA